rnacentral:rRNA from 1 species
AUGGUUUGGAAGGCUUGGGCCCCCCCAAAAGUCAAGUUCUUCGCUUGGCUGGCGUUGCAAGACAGAAUUUGGACCGCCGAUAGAUUGGCCAAACGCGGGUGGCCCAACUGUGAUCUCUGCCCUCUUUGCAAGAGAGUGCAGGAAUGUGGGUCUCAUCUCUUCUUCAAAUGCUGCUACACACGAAGGCUUUGGUCCUUGAUCAUUGACAAAUACCACAUUCACGGUCUUGACACCAAUGGUUGGCCCCUCUUCGACUCGGUUGAGGCUUGGUGGGCAAGUACUUGUGACAAUGACACGCCAAACCGCCAAGCCAAGGCGUCCCUCACCAUGCUUGUUACGUGGACCGUCUGGAAUGAGCGAAACGCAAGGGUCUUCAAGCACAAGUGUGCCCCUCCACCUACAUUGCUUGACUCCAUCGAUACUGAGGCCAACCUUUGGGUCAUCGCCGGUGCAAAAAAAUUAGGGUCUCUUAUUUGCGAGAGUGAUCUCAUGCCGUGUAUUGAGUGA